GAAAAAAUGCCGUAUCCAUAAAAAGACUUUGAUUGGAAAUUGACGUGUCAAAUUUCAACAGGGCAAAAGGUCAUCGGAGGACGCGUUGUAAGGAAACAGUGGUCCCAGCAGCGGAUCGUCACAUACGUGGCGCAUUCUAGAGGAUUGACGUGAUUCUUGUGCAUUUGUUUUUUGUUUAUUUUUUUAGCUUUUUUAGAGAAGAUUCUUCUGCGUGUUUGCUUCGCUGUAAACUUUCCAUUCCUUUAAUUGGUUUUGGGUGACGCUUCUUUGCGACAAAAUUAGUGCAAUGAUCUGAAUUAAUUAAAAAUUUGAACAUGAUAAAUAGAUUCCCGAACCGGAGAUUAUCUACAAUUUCUUAUGCCGUCUCUUAAUUAAAUCAUUAAAUUAUCACUAUGCGUAUCGUUUCAGGAAAAGUAAAAUAAAAAUU
rnacentral:lncRNA from 1 species